GAGGACAUCGAAAGCAGCAGAAACAUAAGUCGUGGAAGAUGGAAGAGGAGGGAGGAGGAAAGCUGUGAUCACUUCUUGGUGAGAGAGAGGACGGUGGGGAGGACGAUGACGAGGAUGAUGAUGAGGAGGAGGAUGAUGGCGAUGCAGGUCCACUUGCGGGUGUUCUUCUGGUAGACGCGGGCGGUGGUGAGAUUGUCGGUGCCGUGGCGGACGAAGGACUGGGCGCGGCCGACGUUGCUCUCGAUGUCGUCCAGCUGCUGCCCCUGCGCCUCCACCAGCACCGCCAUGUCCAUGAACACCUGCUGUAGCUCCAGCAGGCUGCGCUCCAGCUCCGCCACCGCCCCGUGCCGCUCCUGGAUCUCCGCCACCACGUCCAGCACCCGCCCCCUCCCCUGCUCCUCGAUGGCCCGCUGCAGGAACCGCUCCCCCUCCCCCGUCGCCACCAGCGCGUCCACCGUCGCCUCGUCGGGCGACUCCCCCGUGACGGUGUAGUAGCGCCGCCCCACCGUCUCCCGGUACUCGGCCGCGAUCCGGCGGCGGAGCUCCGCGAAGGCUUCCAUGGAGUCCCGGAGCUUCUUGCGGAGGCCGGCCACGACGGAGCUGCGGGUGCGGUCGGUGGAGCUCCCGGGCCCGCACCCGGGGACGGCGCGGUUGGCAGCGUUGGCGCGGUCCAGGGACUCGAGGCGGAGCUUGAUGAGCUUGGCCUUCUUGAGGGCGAGGGCGACGUCGGCGUCCAUGCGGCCCCGGAGCUCCCGCACCGCCGACGCCUCGUGCAGCGUCUUCCCCGCCUCGUUCGCCUCGUGCAGGCUGCGGUGGAGCCUCUCCACCUCCCGCAGCUCGUCCUUGAUCGCCU
rnacentral:lncRNA from 1 species